UUCCGGUUGAUCCCGCCGGAGGGUACUGCUAUCGGAGUUCGAUUAAGCCAUGCAAGUCUACUCAUCCACUUGGGUGGGUGGCAAACGGCUGAGUAACACGUAGUCAAUCUGCCCUGAGGACGGGUAUAACCUUGGGAAACUGAGGCUAAUUCCCGAUAGGCGAUAGAAUCUGGAAUGAUCUAUCACCUAAAUGGCUGGCGAAUUGGAGCCAGACCGCCUUAGGAUGAGACUGCGGUUGAUUAGGUAGUUGGUGGGGUAACGGCCCACCAAGCCGAUAAUCAAUAGGGGCCAUGGGAGUGGUGGCCCCCAGAAGGGUACUGAGACAAGGACCCUAGCCCUACGGGGUGCAGCAGGCGCGAAACCUCUACAAUGCGCGAAAGCGUGAUAGGGGGACUCCGAGUGGCGAGGACUUAGUUCUCGUCUUUUGCGAAGUGUAAACAGCUUCGAGAAUAAGGGUGUGGGCAAGACUGGUGGCAGCCGCCGCGGUAACACCAGCGCCUCAAGUGGUACCCACGAAUAUUGGGCCUAAAGCGUCCGUAGCUGGAUUGAAAAGUCCGCUGUGAAAUAUUGGAGCUUAACUUCAAUGCGCGCAGUGGAUACUUUCUGUCUCGGGAACGGGGGAGGUUCGGGGUACUUCCAGGGUAGGAGUAAAAUCUUUUGAGCCUAG
rnacentral:rRNA from 1 species